ncrna:unclassified sequences drum RNA
AGGCAAUGAUACACCAUUGUGUUCCGGCACGCACCGUGGUGAAGAGCCUCUGGAGGAGUUGUGCGUGUGAACCUCAAACCGGAUAGGUGCUAAGCGAGCACCGAACGAAAACAUGCUUUGG